UAUAGUGAUAUUAACUGUAGCAAUGAGGAAGAUGAUGAAAGUCUGUGGACCACGGCUAUCACAUUUAUCUCUUUGUUUCUCCUUAGCAUCUUCUACAGUGCCACAAUCACACUAGUAAAGGUAAAAUGGUUCAUCUCGAGAAUUCUACAGUUUGAAAUGCAUGAUGAAAAGCACUUUAUAACAGUGCUGGACUCUACCACACAGUGAGGGGACUUUUUUUACAUUCUACAGUGUAUGUCUAUUCUAGUCAUACACAUCUUAUUUAUGAGUGUUUCAUAAGUAAAAAACAUUACAUCAUGUUAUGUCUGCCUUACCAAUAUUUAAUAAAGUCACUUUAACUGA